GAUUUAUUCAAUGUCAGUGUAACAGCACUACUGGCUCAAUAUACUUCAAUUAAUAAUACUAUCAGUAAUAAUGGAAGUUAUGCUGUUAAUAUUACAAUUAAUAAAGAUAAUUUUAUAAGACCUAAUGUGACUAUUGAGUUAAGUUGUCCUCCUUCACAAUCCAACACUUCCCUAACUAUUACCAGUGACAGUACUGCAGUCAUUGAUCAGUACACAUUCACUGGUACUGAUGAGUCUAUUAAUGAUAUACGUACAUUAAUACCAUAUCAUCAAUACAACUAUACUGUACGUGUAUUUAACUUAAGGAACAAGCUCCAGUAUGAGACAUACACCAUCAUCACUACAUAUCAGGUCAUUGGUCUCUACAUUAACAAUACAUAUACCAAUGGAUCAGUUAGUGUACAGUGUAUAUAUCAACUAGUAUCAACUGAUGAUGGAUGUCAUGUGAUAUUUACUGAUACUAGUAAUGGAAGGAAUGAACACUUUAAUAUAACUGGAUCAGACAA